rnacentral:lncRNA from 1 species
GGACUGCCUGGCCCCCCAGGCCCUAGGGGCUUCCAAGGUACUGCGGGGGCCAGGGGCAGCCACGGCGAGCGAGGACCCCCAGGGGCCGUGGGGCCCACAGGGCUGCCGGGGCCCAAGGGGGAGCGAGGAGAGAAGGUGAGUGUGCAGAGUCUGGAGUCCGGGCCGACCCUGGGGGAACACAGGGAGGCACUGACCCCCACGCUGCCUGAGCCGUCAGCCACGUGGCCUGUCCUCCCUUGCAGGGAGAGCCACAGUCCCUGGCCACCAUCUACCAGCUUGUGGGCCAGGCCUGCGAGUCCGCCAUCCAGGGACGGUCCCCCUGCUGCCUCGAGUGAGCCCGCAUGUGCCCCUGGAUCCUGGACACCCGACAUCUGACCCCCGGAGCAGCUGGAGAAGAGGGUCCGGAGGUGCAGGGAGAAGCGGCAGAGACCGGGCCUAGAAACCUUCCCUCUGUGCGUCUCCUGUUCAGAUAAACAUGCCUGCUUGUUAAGGGAGGUGGCUGCUCAUUGCCAGGGACCCCCCCAUCCACCCCUUCCCCCACGGAGUGGAGUCCCAGAUUCCCUCCCCCACACGCCUCUCAGAGAGAGGCCGCCUUUUGUCCUUGGCCGUGAGGAUCCCCCCACCAUGGUCUCCCUCACCAGUUUCUUCCUGUGAGGCCACUGAAGCCUCCAGGCCCUGGU